GACGUAGGGGGCCAGCGUUGUUCGGAAUUACUGGGUGUAAAGGGUUCGUAGGCGGUGCGGCAAGUUGGGAGUGAAAUCUCUGGGCUUAACCCAGAGGCUGCUUCCAAAACUGCUGUGCUUGAGUGUGGGAGAGGCGCGUGGAAUUGCAGGUGUAGCGGUGAAAUGCGUAGAUAUCUGCAGGAACACCCGUGGCGAAAGCGGCGCGCUGGACCACUACUGACGCUGAGGAACGAAAGCGAGGGGAGCAAACAGG
rnacentral:rRNA from 1 species